UGAGGGCUGCUGGUCUUCUGGCAGGCACAGGGCCUGGUGCUGAGCACUCCAGAAAUUCCUCUUCACUUUGUUUUGUUAUCUUUGCAGAGUGAGCCACCUAAAAGCCACCUUCUGAAGGGCUCUGUGUUAAAACCCACCAAACGCUGCAUGGCUGAGCGGUGACUCAGAGAGGUGCUUCGCUCCCACGAGGACGGCGGAGCUCUGACCCAUGCCUGGCUCUGGCUGCACGUUGGGCACACGCUGGUGCCUCCAAAGUACUGAGAGUCCGUGACAAACAGAAGCUGUGAAUUAGUCAGACCUUUUUUUAAUUAGCAUUUCACUAAUUAGUAUUAAUUUAGCAAACGAGUGCCCUGAUUAGCUUGGUUAGAGCAGGAACAGAGGGGAAGAUAUGGGAUAUCAAGGCUCUGACCAGAGCGAAGCCUCAGCCCUGCAGGGACACACAGGGCUCCAGCAGGCACAGCUCCCCUGGACCACAUCACCUCCCUGCACCCACCAUCUUUCACCCAGUCAAUGUCCCCACUUUCAUCACAAACCCUUAUUGCAACCGAGUGCUGCCUCAUUGAUGCUGUCUCUGCUGCAAAGUCCAGUUGAACAAAGAUGUUUCCAGCUGCAGCAGCGGCGCUAAGGAAGCAGCAAUCGUAUCUAUUGUCCAAUUGCUGCUUUUUUUGAAGCAGGGAUGACUGCUUGACAUUAGGCAUAUGGAGUCUGCCCGUUAAUAGUAGUUUAAAGUGGUCAAGAGGUUACGGCAGUAAGGAAUGUUAGUAAAAAUGUCUCUGUGGAGUUUAAACAACCAGUAUUUUAGGCAGGGCUUGGUGGGUUACUGUCCCUGCACAAACAACUAGAAUGUGAGAGUCUGGGCUGGGAAAUACUUAAACUGUUUGGAAAAACUUGUUUUGUGCAGCUUGAGAGUGUCCCUGGAGGCUGUGGCCCGAUGCCAUGACUCCUGGUAAAGGCUGGGCUGCUGUAACAAUGAAGCUUUUAUGGGGAAGCUGGAGUACAAUCAGAAACUUUUUAGUCCCAGGGGAUUAUGGGGAGGGGAGUUCCUGGGUUCAAGAUGUCUGGCACAUUAUGCACAUUUCCACCAGGAUUUGGGGGUGUUCUAUGGCAUGCAAGGUAUGCAAAUUGCUAAAUGUGUUUUCAAUUUCGCUGUGUUGUGCUGUCUUUGUUGGGUGAUCAUUUUUUCACCAGUGUAGCCUGAAGACAGGAUGGGUUCAUAGCACGAGUGGAAAAGCGUUGUUGUCUCACAAGCAUUACUGACCUAUGAAGAGCUCAUUAUAUUUUCAUCUUCCAGCAGGCUCCUAGCUGGGCGGCUCCAGAUUAUUCACUGGGUAAUCUUCCUCCAGUAAGAAGUGUCCUGAACUGAGAGGCAUCUUUGAUCGACCACUCCUUGCCGAAGUGAUCAAAACUGUGUGCGUAGAAACUGUCUUGUUCCUCAUUGCUAUUACUUAACCUCGAUCAUUUGCAUGCUCUGUAUGGCAGAUGUCAGCAAGAGGUCUAGCAACUUGCCAGACUCCACUCAGUCAGCAUUACAGUGUCACUUCAGACCUUCUUCGAAGGCAUCACAACACCGCUAAUUAAUUUGAGGGCUUUGUUACAGAAGGGAAGGCAUUUCCUUAUGGAGAGAGGCUUCUUUUACCAGUGGUGUUUGCUGGAAGGCACAGGGCAGGAUGGUCCCAGCAAAGAAGGAGAUAAGGGGCUGUUCCUGAGGGCAGAGUUAGCACUGCCACUGUGCAUCCAUGCAAGUAUCUGGUCUGGGAGGUCUAACCCUGAUCCCAUGCCUGCUGAAAUCAAUGACAGGAUUUCUGCAGACCAUUGAAGGGACCAUUGAGAGGCUGAGAAGCAGCUAACAGCCCAGUCUGGCAUGAACAAUUUGUACUGCAGUAUCCACAUGUGCCACACACUGGGCUGGACAGAUCCUGAGCUCUGUGUGGGUGAGAGGAAAGGGCCUCACACGAUCAGGGCCUGGUGGUUGAGAGCCUGGUGGUCAAAUCUAUUUUUCUUAGAUGACAAAAAUGUAGUUACCAAGCUGAGACUGCCCAGAGGUGCUCAGACUUGGUGGGUUUUGUUGCUGGAGCCUCAAGGAAGAAGCCCGGUGUUGAGGGGUCUCCCUGCUUUGUCCCCCAUUUUGUGCAUCCUCUCCCUUUGCUUGCUGAGGUUUCACCUCGGGCCUGCCUCCAGUUUGGAAACACUGAAUAGCUCUUAAUGACAGCAGCACAAACAAAACCCUAUAAAGACUGGAUUUGUGAUUUAUGUGGGGUUAAUUACCACAACAAGUAUGUUUAUUCACUUCUCUAAUAAAUCCUAAAGACAGGAACAAGUACUAGCUUGACCAGAUUCAUCCUGUGCAUACGUUUCUUCUGUCACCAUUUUUGCAAAUCUAUACGAGCAGGAUAGAUAAAAAGAGACAAAAUAUCUCCCAUCAUGUAGAUACUAGCCCAUGGCCCAUGUGUGCUCUUCAGCCUGCCAAUGGCAUCAGCAUUUACUUCAGAUCUUCUUGAGGAAAAUAAGCUCCUUUGUGACUUUUGCAGUCUUUUUUUUUUUUUUUUUUUUGGAAGGAAAUAAGUGGAUCAGAAAUGAACAUUAACUACAGCAGGUGUGAUCUAUUGCUCUGACACCCACUUGCCACAGGAGGAAGGUAAGGUCUCCAUUUGUCUCUGCUAAAGGAAUGCGGGAUUUCUAACACGAGGUUAGAAGGCUGCAGUGGCAGGAGCUGGGGCAUGCCCAGGCCCUGCAGUGCGAAGCUGUGCUUCAGUGAGGGCACUCCAUAGCCCAUCACUUGCUCACUAACAGAAUGACUUGGUUCCAUCAAUUUGAUUUACAGGAGAGGGACCUGAUGUAGAGAAAUGAGCAGUGCCAUUGGGAGCGUGUGUUUUUAAGUGAUAGAUCACUGAGUGACUUCAUGUAGACCAAUGUGACACAACAUUGUCCUGUUUGGUUGUGUUCUGAUAUAUGUAGGUUGCAAGAAGGUUUUCUUGAGCUGCUGAUUCUGCUUUAGCCAUCUUCCACGUUGCCAGUGUCCGUGUCUGUGUUGGGCUGACUGCAGUCCCUGAUUUGCUAGAGAAGUAGUUGCCAUGGCUCGGCGCUGUGCCAGACGGGGCCCCCGCCGCUCUGAGGAAUUUGUGUCAGAUAGAACAUUUCGUACGAUGCAGAAGGUUCUGUCACCUCGAUUCGAAGGAAGUUGUUUGUGUUAAUGCUUAAAGGUAACGUGAGACAAGGCGAGCUCUUUACUUUGGAACACGCGCUGUGCCAUUGAUGUACGCAGUACAGUAAAUAUAACAAAGAGUGCACUGUGGUAUUUACACCCACCGCAAACACGUUUGCAAAAUAGGAUUAUUUACCAUCCAAUAAAAUAGUACUGCUUUUAAGGCAGAAACCCUGUGUGUUCAGUGAAGUGUGCUCCUCAGCUUUUCUUACCGUUUAUCGACCCAACACAUUCCUCCCCAUUUUUUUUUAAUGCCUUCCAUUAAUAGUUAAGAAAAACCUAGGGAAAACAAACACUCUUUUCCUGAUUGUUUAUUCACCAGUCUCUUAGGAACCAUAAUUACGUCUCCCAGGAAUUGUGUGUUUUAUCAUACUGUAUAUCUUAAAGAGCCACUUUAGGUAAAAUAACAAGGAGUGCCUUAUGAAGGAAAAUUGGAUUCGUUUUAAGACUUUUUUAACCCUCCAAAGAAUGGCUCUUUGUUUACUUCUUUAGUGCAUGUGGCAACUUGCCCAAGUAAAUACUAUGCUGCAUAAAUACCAGAGAUUGGUAUUUAUGAUAUUACAUAAACAUACUCUGAAUAAUGACUCAUUGUUGCGAUGAAGACGAACGCAAGCAAUAUACAUCGCAGUCAGUGCGUUAUUUCUUGUCACUUUAUUAAGUGGCAUUGAGCACUGUAGGACAAAAUGACAGUGGCUGGAGAGGAGAAGUCUGAUUGCAUUAUUUAUCAGAUUUGAGUUUACAAAACAAAAGAGAAAACAUCCAAAACAGGAAGGUUAUGAGGAUAACAGAGCAGAUUAAUUAUCAAUAUGCAGGAUAAGUAGUUAGGUGCAUGCUGGGGUUGACUGGAAAAAGGUUUAUUGCUCUUUGAAUUGAAAACUCAUGCAAUGCGUUUAUUCCGCUGUCCCAACAGGGAGCUGAGCCCUCAGGUUCAUCAUCCUACCUGUGGUGAUGCUCAUGUCCACUUGUGACAAUAGUAUUUCCCUUAUGGAGCCGCUCUUUUGGUGGCUUUGUUUCUCAGAGCCUCAGUCUGUCCAGUGAGAGUUUUGUUACACCUUUACUGCACUCCAAAAAAAUUGUGUGAGGAUUUGUGUGAAGGGAAAAUGUGGCACACUUUGCAGUGCUGCCAAAUGAUGGAGCUCAGAUCUGAGAAAUCAAAAUCCCAAAGGGAAGGUGCGUAUGCCAGAGCCUCUAUUUAAGGCCAGCAGGGUAUUAACAACUUAUUUAUUUUUAAAGCACAUGGUUAUAGCCUGUCUUGUCCAAACAGCAAAAACAACGGACACUCAAAUUCUCAAAGGACCACUGAACCAUCCCUUUAAAAAUGAUGAUGAAAAUUAUCACCCAUAAUAAUGGACUAGCCUGAAAAAUGUGAUUUUUUGGAAAUUCUGUUCUUUCCCUGAAAAAGCCUUUCAGGAACAGCAGAGAAAGUCUGCAAAGUGGGAGGGUGAUCCUCACAAUACAUGGAGAAGUGGGAUGCUCAGCUGUGGAAGCACUCUCCUCCAUGACUGCAGGCCUGCAUGCUGUGGUUGAGGUGAGGCUUCUGGUAUUUGAUGGGGUUUGUCACCAGCAGAAGAAAUUUUCUUCCUAGGUGUGAAUAAAGGAGUUCCCAUAUUUUCCUACCUAAGUGAACAUCCUUCAUGCUUGCAUGCUCGAGAAGAUAGCAGUGGAUGGGGCCAGCAAUUUCUUGCAAAGUGCCCAGGUUUAUGGAAACCACUGCAUUACUGCAUGGUCAGUUGCUGUUUAUUGUGGUUAUUAGACUGUGCCUUUUUCCUUUGAUUUUAACCAUUUCCUUCCUGGUUCUACUUCUUUAGUCAAAACCCACUCUGUGUAAGGAGAGCUGUUUUUAUGUACUCUGGGUGCCAUGUGCUGUUCCAUCCCAUGUGCAAAGUUGUACUGAACAAAUGUUGACUUUUCUCCCUUGUGCUUCACAUACUUUGUACAGGUUAGUAGGGAACAUGGGGGACAGAAGAACAGAAGUCUGCUGGUCUGCAAAGAUCAAUGAUGUCUCCUGAUGCAGGACACAGCAAGCUCAGGAUGGAUGCAAGCUUAAUUCCACUGGCAAAUGCUUUGAAAAGGGCAGCCUCUGUAACACCUCCCAAAGAAGAAAAGACAGAGACGGACUGCAUGUCAUUCCUUCGUUCCUGCCUGCCCAUAUCAGCACUCACUAUGCCUACGGAAAUGCACAAGAAUCACACAGUUCUAGGCAAAAUGCAUUUAUGUGAGCACUUGUUCUUCUGUGCAGAGCUAAGUACGUCUGCCCUGCAGCUAUCCUGAGAGGUCAGUGACCCAGCAGCGAGGCACACUGCGCCAGCACCGGAGAGUCACUGGAGGAGGUAUGAACUACGCCAGACAGAAAGCAGUGGUGCAAGGUACUGUUGGUAAGGGAGAUGGCACUCAGGCUGGGAAGCAUGCGUGUA